rnacentral:rRNA from 1 species
UAGGGAAUCUUCGGCAAUGGACGAAAGUCUGACCGAGCAACGCCGCGUGAGUGAAGAAGGUUUUCGGAUCGUAAAACUCUGUCGUUAGAGAAGAACAAGGACGUUAGUAACUGAACGUCCCCUGACGGUAUCUAACCAGAAAGCCACGGCUAACUACGUGCCAGCAGCCGCGGUAAUACGUAGGUGGCAAGCGUUGUCCGGAUUUAUUGGGCGUAAAGCGAGCGCAGGCGGUUUCUUAAGUCUGAUGUGAAAGCCCCCGGCUCAACCGGGGAGGGUCAUUGCAAACUGGGAGACAUGGGUGCAGGAGAGGAGAGUGGAAUUCCAUGUGUAGAGAUGAAAUGCGUAGAUAUAUGGAGGAACACCAGUGGCGAAGGCGGCUCUCUGGUCUGUAACUAACGAUGAGGCUCGAAAGCGUGGGGAGCAAACAGG